CUGAUUUUCCAUCAAUCUCUCUAUCUUCUACACCGGUGCCUUUUCAUCUUCUGCGCCGAAUAAAUUGAGAAGUAAAAGAUGGAGUUGUUCUCCCAACAAGUCUCGAAGAGGAUGGAGAGGUUGGAAGAAUAUAGCACCAGCCGCUGUCGAUAGGAGACACUGCAUCCGCCGCGCAGCCACCGCAUGCGGCAUCGCCCUCUAUCACUGCCCGCCUGUGUUUGGCAACUCCCCGUUCAUCGUCUUCUUUCUUGCGUUCAACAUCACCCAGUCCAUCAAGAUCUUCCCCACAUGGUACAAAACUGAACCGGUGGGACGCGUAGCAUAUGGUGGGGUUCACAGGGAUGCUGGCGUCGUUUUUGGCCACCUUCGCCGUGCUCGCCGACCCCAUCGGCCUACAAGAAUGGUUCAGCAGUCUACCUCUUCGCCACAAUUGCAAUCUUCGACUGUGUGGCUAGCGCUGGUUCUCUCUUUGAUUGUUCUAGCUGUUGGAAAUUUUGCAUAUUUAAUAUUGGAUUGUUGAUCUGACGAGUAGUACCCUUUUUGAUUGAUAAUUUGGUAAACGUACAUUAUUCAGUUCAUAUCUUUGAAUACUUCAGUAGUUAAUUUUAAGUCAAGAUUGAAGUUUUACUAGAGACAUAAAUACGACACAUCUUUGUUCAGUUAUUGAUCAAAAGUAUAUAUUGUACAUCUGUGAAGAAACUGCAAGCGCCUAACAACAUGCUAAAACCUCGGAUUACAUAGAACAUAAUGCGCGUGGUUGGGGCCAUGGUGUAGCUAAGGUGGUGAGAUUGUUUGACUGAAGAUUUACUGGUCUGGUAAGUGAUACAGGUUACCAUUAAACUCCUAUCUUUCCAUCGAUGGCGUGGAGGACCCUGCAGGUAACUACUCCUUUAUAUCAAUCUUUGAUUAUAUCUCUCAAGUUAACCUUGCAGUGUUAUUUGUUUGCUCCGUUCAAUAUAUAUUCCUCUCAUACGGACCUUGCAGUGUUAUUUGUUUGCUCCCUUCAAUAUAUGUUCCUCUCAUACAGGUUAUAGUGCUCCCAGAAAUUUAGAUAUCCCCUUGGGACCGCUGAUUGCUCCCUUUGACCCCCAUGGCAUCCGAGCUCUGAGAAAUUUUGAUUUCCCCUUGGGCCAUUCCUGAUGCCUUCAUGGCUCUAUUUGUAAUCCUCAUCUUCUAUCUUGCUAAUCACUGUGAGGUUAUCCUAUAUGAUUUGCUGAUUCUUUUUUCUCAUGCCCUGUCUAAUUAUGUUCAUAGAUCAAUGAAUGUAUUAUUUGCCAUCCCAACAAGCAUGAUCAUUGUUUGUUCUUCCCGAUUAUUGUUGAAUUGUACUAUCUAAUUUUGUACAGGGCUAGAUUUCCAUAAUUUAUUUUUUCGUGCACAACAUUGAAACUAGAAAAUAAUUAAUUUAGAUUGUCGAGCAAUUACAGAGCACUACAGAUUGUUUUCGGUGCUAUAUGCUACACUGUACAUCAUAUUUAAAUUUUUCCUUCCAGUGGUCCAAGCAAUAGUGCCUCGCUUUACCAGGAGAUCUUUCAGCUCUACUCAUCGCCAAUUUUAAUGGUGUGGUUAUGAACCAAAAAAUUCAGAGUAAAUAUGAAUGUUCAAUUCUCCCAAGUGUUUUCAGUUAUUUUUCCUAAUUUUGUUCUUCAUUUCAGUUUCUUACAAGAAUCAAGAAUGCCAAGGACAACUCAUCUUCUAAUUGUUGCUUGCUAGGAAUAGAAACGAUUUUAACAUCUGAUAGGAUAUUUUUUAGACAAAGUAUUACGUACAACUUUAAGCCUUCAAGAAAUAGUUUUUUGCGGGUUCAAGAAAUAGUUAUCAUGCCAUUAAAAAUAGAGCAGUGAUACGCACACGAUACUAUGGACAAGAAUUUUGGAUGACAAACCAAUCAAGUCGUCCAUGCAAGACAACAGACGGCCACUCAAGAUAGGACCAUCGUGCAACAAUUGUUUAAACUAUUUGCCAUGUGCACAAUAGUUUUGUUAAAAAUGUUUUAUUUGUUUUGUUCUGUUUGUGUAAAGCACAACUUCCUUACCAA